CAAAAUCAGACUCAUAAAAGUCUAACCUGACCUUUUUCAUUAACAUAGGUUUUCAUACCCAAAAAGGAAAAACCCUCAAUGUUCUAGGUCAUUGAAAUUUUAUGAGUUCAUUUGUUCAUAAUUUUGAGAAAUUGAAUUCUAGUUUAAUUUUGUUCAAUUUUAGAAAGGAAUUGAAAGAGUUUUUGCAUCUUAAAAGCUUGUAAGACUCCUUGAGCUUUGAAUUUUUGCUAAGAAAAAUUGAAAUUCUCUGGUGGUGGUAGAAAGAUUCCAAUGAAACACGUAGUCUCAAUUCACUGCUCAUGAAAAGGUGAUCAAAGUGUAAAUGAAGCAAUGAGUGAUAGCACAAGCAAUAUGGGCACACUCAAUGCUUCUAUUGAUGAUGAAGGCCAAUUAUAUGAGGCGGGACCAACAAGUGAAAUUUGUAUUCCACCAAUCAACGGCAUAAAGUUGAGGAGAUCAAAAUAUGUGGAUGGGAGCUGAAAAUGAAAGAAAGGAAGUAAAGAGAAGUACAACUGAAGACCUGGACAACAUCAUCCUCAGGUAUCGCGUCCAGGGUCAUCAAACUGUAGUCGUAAACUGUCAAGAUGGUCAAAGUAAUAUGGUCGCAGCAUACAACCACGGUCGCGUAGUCAUGGUCACAGAGAGCCGUACGCGAUUGUGGUUUAACAUAAAUAUACCUAGGGGCAGAUCUGUAAAAGCACUUAGGUACAU